CUUUCCGUAGUCCUUGCCUAGAAGAUCCAGGACAUUUUCGUUGUAUAUUUCGAUGUAGGAUAUGCGCACCAUGUACUCCCGCUCAGGCAUCUGUCAAAAGAAAAUGCACAUUCUGAUGGGAUUUUUGCCAUUCUUUAUCUCCCUGGAAGAGGAAAAAUUCAUUGAUAAGCAAAGUAAGAGAUUGAAGAAGAUGUCAGACCUACCUCAUGGACUUUCACAGGUACAAUUCCUGAAAAGCAG